UGCGUAGGCGGCUGAUUAAGUCGGAUGUGAAAUCCCUGAGCUUAACUUGGGAAUUGCAUUCGAUACUGGUCAGCUAGAGUAUGGGAGAGGAUGGUAGAAUUCCAGGUGUAGCGGUGAAAUGCGUAGAGAUCUGGAGGAAUACCGAUGGCGAAGGCAGCCAUCUGGCCUAAUACUGACGCUGAGGUACGAAAGCAUGGGGAGCAAACA
rnacentral:rRNA from 1 species